GUCUAUGGGGUUGCACAGAGUCGGACACGACUGACGUGACUCAGCAGCAGCAGCAGUUUGUCAUAUCCUCAAUGGCUAUGUCAUUGUUUUAAAGGUUGUGGUCUGCCCCUUUCUCUCCUGUCUCAGAAGGAAUCGGUGAGAAUGGAAACUGCCAGGACUUGCAAAGUAAACUGAGGCCUAUCAAUAGUCAGAGUUAGGAGGUAGAGCUGCCUGUGUGGUCGAGUGUUCAGAAACUCUACAUGAUGUUGUGAACAGUGUGCUUCUAUUUCAGAGUUACUGGGGUUGCCUUCUGAAAAUGCAGAUUGCUCAGCUUAAUUCAGAAGUGUUGAGUCCUUGUCCCCCAGGGUGUCUGCAGUUGACGUCUGAGUGAGAAGCAGCUGGCCCAGCAGCGUCAAACACCCUCCUUCCAGCUGGCUCUGCCUUUAAGUUAGAACAAAGUGAGAAGGCAUUCAACUACCAGAUAUUUCGAUAAGAAAAUACAAUGAAGAAAGAAGAGAAAUUGAAGCUGAGUUCUCUUACGGUCCCCAGGAUGGAACUUAUUAUCCCAGGAUUAUCUUCAUUGCAUGUUUGCUGCUGCUGCUGCUAAGUCGCUUCAGUCGUGUCCGACUCUGUGUGACCCCACAGACGGCAGCCCAGCAGGCUCCCCCGUCCCUGGGAUUCUCCAGGCAAGAACACUGGAGUGGGUUGCCAUUUCCUUCUCCAAUGCAUGAAAGUGAAAAGUGAAAGUGAAGUCGCUCAGUUGUGUCCAACUCUUCGAGACCCCAUGGAUUGCAGCCUACCAGGCUCCUCCAUCCAUGGGAUUUUCCAGGCAAGAGUACUGGAGUGGGGUGCCAUUGCCUUCUCUGUCAUUGCAUGUUUGACCGUGUGUAACGUUUAUGGUGGAAACCAUAAUGAAAAGCUUGUGACAACCUGGGUAACGUUGAUGA
ensembl:lncRNA